rnacentral:lncRNA from 1 species
CCUGGCACCAGGAUGGGUUCUGGGGAGACAGUGGUGACUCCUCUGGACGGGACUCCUGUUCUGAUGGAGCUUUUGAAGCGAGGGAGGCAGACUUUAACCAAAGUGCUCCGUCCUCCCUGAGAACUGCAGGAGCACGUGGUGGCCCGCCAAGCAGCUUCCCAGAGCCUGAGGGCCAGGCUCCAAUGCCAGGCGUGCAGGUGUGGCUGCGGGCACAAGUGCCCACCAGGAGUCCACCUGCACAAAGAGGUGGAACCCAGAAUAACCAGGUGGUGUCUGGUGGCUUUAGCUUCAGUGAAACACUAACUGUGUCUGGAAGCAAACCCUCUCUGGGGCCAGGGCCUCUGGACCUCCAGAGCCUAAAGAGCAGAGGGAAGCACUCAUUCCCCAGGAGGGCCCCCG